ensembl:lncRNA
UCUGACCGCUCUCCGGCCGCGCCGCGGGCUCAGCCGAUCCCGCUUUGUCUGCUCCUUAACUGGAGAUCGGGCCCCGCCGGGCUGCGGGGUCUCUCCCGCGGCGCGAGGGGUGCGGGAGGCAAGUCCUACCCUAGAUGCGCUCCCAGGAGCUGCGCUUCCCUCUGUGUGUGGGCCUCACUCUGUCUUGGUGCAAGGGGGCCUCCCCCUUCUGCCUGAGGGUGACAGGCGUCACUCUCCAGGGUCGCAUCCCCGUGGGGUGGCAUCGCUGAUUCGACAGUUUUCUCCUCUCGCUUCAGCAUAAAAGGAAAAGUUUUUGGAUAUACUAAUAUGGAAAUAUCAGCAGCGCAAAGAAUGGAGAUCCUCAAGUAACUAGGUGUUUUCUUACUGAUCAGACUGAUGAAGAGCAAGGUGAAGGAGGAGGAGAGAAGAUGAUGAAAAUGCUGGUUACGUUAAUUAAGAAAGAAAACAAGAAACAAGCCAGCCUGCCAGCUCUUGUCGCUGGGGUGGGUGGAGAAUGGUCCAGCUUCCCUCCCCACGUCCUCCUCUGACUCCUUUGUUGUGUGUUUGAGACCCUGAGAUCCCCAGUCAAUAAGCAAAUAUAUUCCAUAUACUCAGGCAGGAAAGUGGUUCUAAGUUAUGGAAUGAAGAACUGGGUCUCUUUAUCCUUUUUGAAGGCAUGUGUGUGUAUGCUCAGUCGCUCAGUUGUGUCCGACUCUGCGACCUCAUGGACUAAAUACAGCCCACCAAUCACCUAUCCCAGUACACUGCACCCAUUUUGAAUUUAAAAUGUGAUGCCUUUUGACGAAUGGGGAACCAUCUCUUCAAUGCAAACAUUUCCAUCACUCUGGAAAGUUCCCCUAUGCCCCUCCUCCUCCCCAGCCACCAGCACCCACAGAUCUAAUUUAUGUGCCUGUUUUGCUUUUUCCAGAAAGUCAUAAAAACGAAGUGGUACAGGACAUAGCCCUUUGUGUCCGGCUAUUCACGCUUAGAGCACUGCCUUUCGGAUCCACCCACACUGUGCGUGCGUGCUGAGUAUUCCGUCGCAGGGGGACACUGCAGUCUGUUCAUCCAUCUGUCAGCCGGUGGAUGUGGGGGUUGUAUCUGGCUUUUGGUGAUAUGAAUAAAGCUGCGUUUAAGUCCUUUUUCUUCUCUCAGGUAAAUACCUAGCAGUGGGAUUCUUGAAUCCUAUGUAAGUAGAUACUUAAGAAGAAACUGGUCAACUGUUUUCCAAAAUGGCAGGACCAUUUUGCAUUCCCACCGACAGUGUAUGAGAUUUCAGCUGUGGAUGGCUAUGAACAACAAAAACCCAGAAAAUAGAAAGAGUGGGCAAGGAUGUGGAGACAUUGGAAGUCUCACACCUUGCUGAUCGGGGUGUAAAAUGGCUCAGCUACCCAGAAUGACAGUUUGGUGAUUCCUCAAUAGGUUAAAUAUAGAAUGAUCACGUGACCCAGCGAUGCCACCCUUGGGUACUAAAUACCCCAAAUAAUUGGAAACAGGUGU